AUGGCAUCUUCUUUUCCUCGUACACUUUUGUUUUUUCUCUUGCUCCUGCUACCUUUCUUCUCUUCCUCAUCUGGUUCCAGCACCGACCCUUGCCUGCUUGUUGAGAAGCGGGUUCUGAUGCCUUACCUUGCUGUCAAUGGAACUACUAUUACAGAGCUCGGACACCAUGCCGGCUACUAUCCUCUCCCGCAUUCCCACGCUGCAAGGAUGUUCUAUUUGUUCUUUGAGUCAAGGACUAACAAGAAUCAUCCUAUUGUGAUUUGGUUACAUGGAGGACCAGGGUGCAGCAGUGAAGUAGCUGUGUUCUAUGAAAAUGGUCUUUUCCAUGUUACAAGUAACCUGACUCUUACUUGGAAUGUCUAUGGCUGGGACAAGGUGUCAAACCUUCUCUACAUUGACCAACCUACUGGAACUGGUUUCAGCUAUUCUUCAGAUAGCCGUGAUACUCGUCACGAUGAAGAAGGUGUCAGCAACGACUUGUAUGAUUUCUUACAGGGAUUUUUCACUCAGCAUCCUCAAUUUGUUAAGAAUGACGUCUACAUCACUGGAGAAUCAUAUGGCGGCCACUACAUCCCGGCAUUUGCUUCUCGAGUUCACAAGGGUAACAAAGACAAGGAAGGGAUUCACAUAAACCUCAAGGGCAUUGCAAUAGGUAAUGGUCUAACCAAUUCACCUGUCCAGUACAAGGCUUACCCUGAUUAUGCACUGCAUAUGGGUUUGAUUAAGAAACCUGACUAUGAUAGAAUUACCUGCCAGUUGAUCCCAGCCUGUGAACAAAGACUCAAAAUUUGUCGACGUACUGGAGGACAUUCUUGUGAAUACGCAUAUUUGGAAUGUAAUGACAUAUUUGAAAGCAUCAUUGAAAUCAACCCUGGUUUGAAUUAUAUGGAUAUCAGAAAAUGAUGUGCAGGGGAUGUGUGCUAUGACUUCUCAAACAUGAUGGCAUUUUUGAACAAGAAAUCAGUUAGGAAUGCCCUAGGAGUUGGGCACAUAGACUUUGUACCUUGCAAUUUAACAGUAUAUUCGGCUAUGCUCCAGGACUAUAUGAGAAAUCUGGAAUUGGGUAUUCCUGCUCUUCUUGAAGAUGGAAUCAAGGUGCUAGUGUAUGCUGGGGAGUACGAUCUUAUCUGCAAUUGGCUGGGGAACUCAAAUUGGGUUCAUGCCAUGAAAUGGUCUGGUCAGAGAGCAUUUGGUGAAUCAUCGACUGUUCCAUUUAAGGUUGGUGGUGCAGAAGCAGGACAGCUAAAAAGCCAUGGACCACUCACUUUCCUCAAGGUCGAUGAUGCUGGUCACAUGGUUCCAUUGGAUCAGCCAAAAGCCGCCUUACAGAUGCUGGCAAAUUGGAUGCAAGGAAAUUUGGCGCUGGCUUAGUCAAGUAUAGAUAGAUUAUGUGUUACAAUUGCUAAUGCUUUAGAGGGGAAGGCACAUUAA